GUCAGCUCGUGUCGUGAGAUGUUGGUUAAGUCCCGCAACGAGCGCAACCCUUGUCAUUAGUUGCUACAUUCAGUUGGGCACUCUAAUGAGACUGCCGGUGACAAGCCGGAGGAAGUGGGAUGACGUCAAGUCCUCAUGGCCCUUAUAGGUGGGGCUACACACGUCAUACAAUGGCUGGUACAAAGGGUUGCCAACCCGCAGGGGGAGCUAAUCCCAUAAAGCCAGUCGUAGUCCGGAUCGUAGUCUGCAACUCGACUACGUGAAGUCGGAAUCGCUAGUAAUCGUGGAUCAGAAUGUCACGGUGAAUACGUUCCCGGGUCUU
rnacentral:rRNA from 1 species